CAUUAUUCAAACUGAAUUAUUAACUCAAGAUUUUUUCUUAAGUUGCAGUGGCAAAUCAUUUUUGAACACUGAAACAACCAGGAUUUCAGAAAAAAAAUGUUGUGCUCAUGUAACUACUUUGUGGUCUGUCCCUUUUUUUGUUCUUCAGUGCCCCAGCUGUAGAUUGGAGAGCCAGACUUUCGUGGUGGUAAGAGGCAGUUAUACCAACAUGGAGCUGAGUAAGGAUGAUCAGUCACACUUCCAUCCUGCUCCAGGCACUCGUCACUAGUGGACAGCUAUGCAUAGCUGAAGGGAAGGGGCAGAGUAGUUUACCAACAAACCAGCAAGGUGGGCUGGCAUUACAG
ensembl:lncRNA